UGCAAACCAGACUACUCUCAAAACAGCUAAGCACGGAUAUGGUCAUUGACCAACCAAAGUGAUCAAGGAGGACUUUUUAAGGAAGUGAUGCUGAAGUCAAAGACGGAAGGCUGAGUCUGAGUUAUCAAGAUGCAGCAAUCGAGACUCAGAGGAUUAAAUGACUUGCCGCAUAGUCAUACAGGUCAUGCUACUGGAGGUGACCUACAUUUCAGAAGCCAACAAGCAACAACAGAGAGACAGGGAGCUG